rnacentral:rRNA from 1 species
UACGUAGGGUGCGAGCGUUAAUCGGAAUUACUGGGCGUAAAGCGUGCGCAGGCGGUGAUGUAAGACCGAUGUGAAAUCCCCGGGCUUAACCUGGGAACUGCAUUGGUGACUGCAUUGCUGGAGUAUGGCAGAGGGGGGUGGAAUUCCACGUGUAGCAGUGAAAUGCGUAGAGAUGUGGAGGAACACCAGUGGCGAAGGCGGCAUCCUGGACUGGUCCUGACACUCAGGAGCGAAAGCGUGGGGAGCGAUCCGG